rnacentral:lncRNA from 1 species
AUGAUUCCAAGUAAAGGAAUAACAGUGGCUUGCACAGUGAGUUUUGUUCAUGAUGUGCUGAGUCUUGUCCCGCUGUGUCCUCUGUGCUCCUGCAGAGACGUGAAGAGCUCCAGUGGAGAAAAUUCUCCGUACGAUAACAACUCUCCGCUGCUCUCCGACUGGUUUCAUCCAUCAGGACCCGAGGAUCAGAGUCCCACGAACCUCCAGCAUGCUCUCGAGAGGAACAACACUGUGAACUUCUGCCUCUCCCCCUCACGAGCCGGCGCCGGGGAAACCAUAUGUGAUGAGGCUCGUAUCUGGCGAACACGACAGGCUCUUCUGUCAGGACUUCAUGACAAACUCCUCACAGGUUCGGAUGGACACCUGUAUAAACGCGCCUCCUCUGAAGUCUUCUACGCUGACGACAGCGACACGAAACCUGUGCAUGAGACGCAAGCGUCUCGUACGAACGUCACUGCUGAAUGUGAAGCAUGCCUACAUCCAGUCGCAUCGAGACACCAGACUGCAUUUGACCAAUCAGAGGAGGCUCCCGCCAAACCAGACAACAGACUUCCUGCCGUGUCCAUGCAGCCGCGGGUCACUUCCUGUCAGCAUCCAGAUUGGCCGACAGAGAAGUGGCAAUUAUGGCAACUCCUGUCAUCAGACAGCAUAGACACACUUCCAGAGACUAUGGUGUGAAACACACAGUUUAAAGGGACAGAUCCCCAAAAAAUGAACUUACUGUCAUCAAAAGAACAUUGGACCCCACUAACUUUCAUUGAAUGAGGCAUUUCUCAAAAUAUUUUCUUUUAUGUUCCAACGAAGAAAGAAAGUCAUACAGGUUUGGAAUGAGUGAGGAAUGACAUAAUGCUUUUUUUUUUGGUGAACUGUCCCUUUAAGAACCUUUUAAUUUGCAAGUGAAUUGUAUUUGAAUGACAGGAAGCACCACAAAAUGUUACCACGUUGUUUUCAGAUCAUUUUAUAAAAAUAAUUAUUGGUAUAAAAAUUUUGGAUGAAUAUUUAAAAAUUUGCGGUCAUUAUGAUUUUAUUUUAUUUUUGACAGAAAUUAAUAUUUUUAUUAAUCAAGGAUGCAUUUUAUAAUAAAGCCAUUUAUAAUGUUACAAAAGAUUUAUAUUUCAAAUAAAUGCUGUUCUUUUGAACUUUCUAUUCACCUGUGAAUCCUGAAAAAAGUGUAUCUCGGUUUCCACAAAAAUAUGAAAUCUUUUCAACAUUGAUAAAGAUAAAAAUCAAUAAAUUAGCAUAUUAGAAUGAUUUCUGAAGAUCAUGUGACACUGAAGACUGGAGUAAUGAUGCUGAAAAUACAGCUGCGCAUCACAGAAAUAAAUUACAUUUUAACACACAUUCACAUAGAAACCCCUAAUUUUAAAUUGUAAUAAUAUUUCACAUUUUUUACUGUAUUUUUGAACAAAUAAAUGCAGCCUUGAUGAGCAGAAGAGACUUCUUUCAAAAACCAUAUGUUGAGUGUAUGAACAUGUUCAUUGGUAAUUAUACCGAAACAUUACAUGUAUUAUUAAAAACUGCUCUUUUAGCAGUGAUAUGAAUUUAUUUGAAUAUAAUUUUAAUUCUACUUGCGUACAAUAGAUUGUAAUCAAAUUGUAAUUCUAUAUCCUGUGUGUUGUGGCCAGCUCAGUUCAAAUGACAGGAUAUGAACUGAAAAGAAACCUUAAAUUCUGAAUUCACUUCAGCCUCAGUUGAAGCUCAAUUGAAUUUAUAUGUAGAAUAUAUAAAAUAACCACAGUUCAGUUGCAUUCAGCAGUUUGGACGUUUCCAAAGACUCUAAUUUCUUGUAGGUGAUUUUAAACACAACAAACACUUGCGCUUCAGAGAUUUCAAGAUUUUAUCUGUUAUUAAUAAUCCCUCAUAUUUUCCUUCAUUCAUCAUGUGUGACAUCAUCACUUCAAAACGUAACGAGCAUGUCAGAUUAAUUACAGCGAUGCAAACAUACAGAAUGUCAAAUCUAUACGACAUCCAGUGUAUUUAUUUAUUAAUGUUAUUUAUUAAAUUAGCCAAUAGUAUGUAACCACUGUGUAUAAUCACCACAGAAUGAUUUAUUUCAGAGUUCGUUUGUUGCCUCCGUAUUGCUUCAUCUGCAUAAAAUCAAUCAGAUUUUUAUCUUCACUAUAUUCAGAUAUCUGUGAAGUCAUCGUAAAGUCAAAAUGAGUCUUAAGUCAUGUUCCUGGUUCUGUUGCCUGUGAUUCAGUGGUGCACAAUAUUCUGAACAAACAUGUUUAUCUUUACCUGUUUUUUAGAUAUAUUCAGCAAAUGAUCAUUUUUGUGUGAACUAUUCAUUUUUGUGUGAACUAUUGUGUGAACUAAUCACGUCCUGUAUAUGAGUUUAUAACAUUCAUUUAGUACUUCAUUAUUUUCUUUCUCUGUCAGUGUUCUGUUUGAUAUUUGUACUAGCCAAGAGCGAUAUGAUGUUGAUCUAUUUAUAUAUAUANNNNNNNNNNNNNNNNNNNNNNNNNNNNNNNNNNNNNNNNNNNNNNNNUUGUGUCUUUUAUUAGUUUUGUUUUGUUUUUGCCUGUAGUCGAAAGCAUCAGUGUUCAGAAACUCAAAUAAAAUCAAUGUCUGUCAAGUCCAUCUGUGUAGCAUCCAGGUAUUUAUUUUUAUUCCACAUUACAGUGUUAUUUU